rnacentral:rRNA from 1 species
GACGAACGCUGGCGGCGUGCUUAACACAUGCAAGUCGAGCGGAGCGGCGAACAGGUGAGUAACGCGUGAGUAACUGCCCCCCUCUCUGGGAUGACAGUUGGGAACGGCUUCUAAUACCGGAUAGUGGGGGGUGACUCGCGUCCAAUCUGCUUGGUGGUGGUGUAGUUGCUUACAAAGGCGACGACGGGUAGCCGGCAUGAGAGGGUGAACGUCCACAUUGGGCUGAGAUACGUCCCAAACGCAUACGGGAGGCAGCAGUGGGGAAUAUUGCACAAUGGGGGAAACCCUGAGGCAGAAACGCCGCGUGCGGGAGGACGGCCUUCGUGUUGGAAACCGCUGUCAGCUAUGACGCGGUAGUGGCAGAAGAAGCACCGGCUAACUACGUGCCAGCAGCCGCGGUAAUUC